rfam:Schistosoma mansoni, Puerto Rico, WGS project CABG01000000 data, contig: 0071
GUCUAGCUGACGAGUCCCAAAUAGGACGUAACGCGUGUCAAACUACAU